AUAGUUCUCACUCAAUUGCGUCAGAAACUCCAAGAUGCUUGUUGCUACGGCACGUCAGUUCUUCUCCCCUCGUUUUAUUUUGAGACGAAAUAAAGUUACACCAACAGAUGUUGUCCCCCAGCAGAGCUCCAAACCACACUCGACGUUUCAAACUAUGCUUCAUCUGCUCCUAGGGGGAGCAAUGCUUGGUGUGCCACCUUAUUUAAUGAUUUUAUAUCUACCAAAAAGAAAAUCUGAAAGCUAAAUUAACAAGUAAAGGUGCAGCAAGAUUGCAAGACAAGCACACAAACAAAAAACAUAAUAAUAAUAAAGUGUUAGUGUUCUUUAUUGUAGUUCAAUUCAAUUCAGCAGAGAUCUUCAAUG